rnacentral:ncRNA from 1 species
UAAGUAUUCCGCCUGGGGAGUACGGUCGCAAGAUUAAAACUCAAAGGAAUUGACGGGGACCCGCACAAGCAGCGGAGCAUGUGGUUUAAUUCGAAGCAACGCGAAGAACCUUACCUAGACUUGACAUCUCCUGAAUUACUCGUAAUGGAGGAAGCCCUUCGGGGCAGGAAGACAGGUGGUGCAUGGUUGUCGUCAGCUCGUGUCGUGAGAUGUUGGGUUAAGUCCCGCAACGAGCGCAACCCUUAUCGUUAGUUGCUACCAUUAAGUUGAGCACUCUAACGAGACUGCCGCGGUUAACGUGGAGGAAGGUGGGGAUGACGUCAAAUCAUCAUGCCCCUUAUGUCUAGGGCUACACACGUGCUACAAUGGCCGGUACAACGAGAUGCAAACCCGUGAGGGGGAGCCAAACUCAAAAGCCGGUCCCAGUUCGGAUUGUAGGCUGAAACUCGCCUACAUGAAGUCGGAGUUGCUAGUAAUCGCGAAUCAGCAUGUCGCGGUGAAUACGUUCCCGGGUCUUGUACACACCGCCCGUCACACCAUGAGAGCCGGUAACACCCGAAGUCCGUGAGGUAACCUUUAUGGAGCCA